UGUAGUCAUAUGCUUGUCUCAAAGAUUAAGCCAUGCAUGUCUAAGUAUAAGCAAUUAUACCGCGAAACUGCGAAUGGCUCAUUAAAUCAGUUAUCGUUUAUUUGAUAGUACCUUACUACAUGGAUAACCGUGGUAAUUCUAGAGCUAAUACAUGCUGAAAAUCCCGACUUCGGAAGGGAUGUAUUUAUUAGAUUAAAAACCAAUGCCCUUCGGGGCUCUCUGGUGAUUCAUAAUAACUUCUCGAAUCGCACGGCCUUGCGCCGGCGAUGGUUCAUUCAAAUUUCUGCCCUAUCAACUUUCGACGGCUGGGUCUUGGCCAGCCAUGGUGACAACGGGUAACGGAGGGUUAGGGCUCGACCCCGGAGAAGGAGCCUGGGAAACGGCUACUACAUCCAAGGAAGGCAGCAGGCGCGCAAAUUACCCAAUCCCGACUCGGGGAGGUAGUGACAAUAAAUACCGAUACAGGGCUCUUUUGGGUCUUGUAAUUGGAAUGAGUACAAUUUAAAUCCCUUAACGAGGAACAAUUGGAGGGCAAGUCUGGUAAUCG
rnacentral:rRNA from 1 species